rnacentral:rRNA from 1 species
UAGCUAGUUGGUGAGGUAACGGCCCACCAAGGCGACGAUUGGUAGCCGGACUGAGAGGUUGAACGGCCACAUUGGGACUGAGACACGGCCCAGACUCCUACGGGAGGCAGCAGUGGGGGAUAUUGCACAAUGGGGGAAACCCUGAUGCAGCGACGCCGCGUGGAGGAAGAAGGUUUUCGGAUUGUAAACUCCUGUCGUUAGGGACGAUAAUGACGGUACCUAACAAGAAAGCACCGGCUAACUACGUGCCAGCAGCCGCGGUAAAACGUAGGGUGCAAGCGUUGUCCGGAAUUACUGGGUGUAAAGGGAGCGCAGGCGGACCGGCAAGUUGGAAGUGAAAACUAUGGGCUCAACCCAUAAAUUGCUUUCAAAACUGCAGGCCUUGAGUAGUGCAGAGGUAGGUGGAAUUCCCGGUGUAGCGGUGGAAUGCGUAGAUAUCGGGAGGAACACCAGUGGCGAAGGCGACCUACUGGGCACCAACUGACGCUGAGGCUCGAAAGCAUGGGUAGCAAACAGGAUUAGAUACCCUGGUAGUCCAUGCCGUAAACGAUGAUUACUAGGUGUUGGAGGAUUGACCCCUUCAGUGCCGCAGUUAACACAAUAAGUAAUCCACCUGGGGAGUACGACCGCAAGGUUGAAACUCAAAGGAAUUGACGGGGGCCCGCACAAGCAGUGGAGUAUGUGGUUUAAUUCGAAGCAACGCGAAGAACCUUACCAGGUCUUGACAUCCGAUGCAUAGCUUAGAGAUAAGUGAAGUCCUUCGGGACAUCGAGACAGGUGGUGCAUGGUUGUCGUCAGCUCGUGUCGUGAGAUGUUGGGUUAAGUCCCGCAACGAGCGCAACCCUUAUUGCCAGUUACUACGAAAGAGGACUCUGGCGAGACUGCCGUUGACAAAACGGAGGAAGGUGGGGAUGACGUCAAAUCAUCAUGCCCUUUAUGACCUGGGCUACACACGUACUACAAUGGCGUUUAACAAAGAGAAGCAAGACCGCGAGGUGGAGCAAAACUCAAAAACAACGUCUCAGUUCAGAUUGCAGGCUGCAACUCGCCUGCAUGAAGUCGGAAUUGCUAGUAAUCGCGGAUCAGCAUGCCGCGGUGAAUACGUUCCCGGGCCUUGUACACACCGCCCGUCACACCAUGAGAGCCGGGGGGACCCGAAGUCGGUAGUCUAACCGCAAGGAGGACGCCGCCGAAGGUAAAACUGGUGAUUGGGGUGAAGUCGUAACAAGGUAGCCGUA